GUGUGAGGCAUCACAUCAGUACANUUCUCUUUCAUUUGGUUAGCUUGCGAAGGUAAUUGGAUUGGAGUUCAUCCCGCUUUCCUGUGGUGUCUGGCGUGCAUGCGAAGUAGAGAGUCUACACAUCUAGACCUCUAUGAAGAUUUAAUUUAGAUAAAUUAAGAUUUGAUCUCUAAUUCUACUACUAAUCAGGUAAGAAUUUGAUCUUUAAUCAUAUAAAAAAUAAAAAAAUUUUAGAUGCAAUCUGAGCAUUCCGAAGGAAAACUAUUCCCUUCCCUUCAGUUGGUAUCAGAGUAGGCCUGAAAUAUAUGUAUGCAUAAUAAAAUUAUUUAAGAAUAAUUAUAUAAGAUAUAAUAAAU
rnacentral:lncRNA from 1 species